AGCAGUCGCCACGGUAAUACGGAGGGUGCAAGCGUUAUCCGGAUUUAUUGGGUUUAAAGGGUCCGUAGGCGGACUUAUAAGUCAGUGGUGAAAGCCUGUCGCUUAACGAUAGAACUGCCAUUGAUACUGUAAGUCUUGAGUAUAUUUGAGGUAGCUGGAAUAAGUAGUGUAGCGGUGAAAUGCAUAGAUAUUACUUAGAACACCAAUUGCGAAGGCAGGUUACCAAGAUAUAACUGACGCUGAGGGACGAAAGCGUGGGUAGCGAACAGGAUUAGAUACCCCUGUAGUCCCUGUCUCUUAUAC
rnacentral:rRNA from 1 species